ACUCCUACGGGAGGCAGCAGUGGGGAAUAUUGCACAAUGGGGGAAACCCUGAUGCAGCCAUGCCGCGUGUGUGAAGAAGGCCUUGGGUUGUAAAGCACUUUCAGUAGGGAGGAAGGUAGUGUAGUUAACACCUGCAUUAUUUGACGUUACCUACAGAAGAAGCACCGGCUAACUCCGUGCCAGCAGCCGCGGUAAGUACGGAGGGUGCGAGCGUUAAUCGGAAUUACGUGGGCGUAAAGCGCAUGCAGGCGGCCUGUUAAGUCAGAUGUGAAAGCCCGGGGUCUUAACCUCGGAAUUGCAUUUGAAACUGGCAGGCUAGAGUCUUGUAGAGGGGUUAGAAUUUCAGGUGUAGCGGUGAAAUGCGUAGAGAUCUGAAGGAAUACCGAGUGGCGAACGGCGGCCCCCUGGACAAAGACUGACGCUCAGAUGCGAAAGCGUGGGAGCAAACGAGGAUUAGAUACCCCGUGGUAGACUGUCA
rnacentral:rRNA from 1 species